CCCUUCACUACGGAAUAGUCCCGGGAAACUGGGUUUAAUACCGUAUACGCCCUUCGGGGGAAAGAAUUUCGGUGAGGGAUCGGCCCGCGUUAGAUUAGUUAGUUGGUGGGGUAAUGGCCUACCAAGACUACGAUCUAUAGCUGGUUUGAGAGGAUGAUCAGCAACACUGGGACUGAGACACGGCCCAGACUCCUACGGGAGGCAGCAGUGGGGAAUCUUAGACAAUGGGGGCAACCCUGAUCUAGCGAUGCCGCGUGAGUGAUGAAGGCCUUAGGGUCGUAAAGCUCUUUCGCCUGUGAUGAUAAUGACAGUAGCAGGUAAAGAAACCCCGGCUAACUCCGUGCCAGCAGCCGCGGUAAUACGGAGGGGGUUAGCGUUGUUCGGAAUUACUGGGCGUAAAGCGCACGUAGGCGGAUUAGUCAGUCAGAGGUGAAAUCCCAGGGCUCAACCCUGGAACUGCCUUUGAUACUGCUAGUCUUGAGUUCGAGAGAGGUAAGUGGAAUUCCGAGUGUAGAGGUGAAAUUCGUAGAUAUUCGGAGGAACACCAGUGGCGAAGGCGGCUUACUGGCUCGAUACUGACGCUGAGGUGCGAAAGUGUGGGGAGCAAACAGGAUUAGAUACCCUGGUAGUCCACACCGUAAACGAUGAAUGCCAGUCGUCGGGUAGCAUGCUAUUCGGUGACACACCUAACGGAUUAAGCAUUCCGCCUGUGGAGUACGGUCGCAAGAUUAUAACUCAAAGGAAUUGACGGGGGCCCGCACAAGCGGUG
rnacentral:rRNA from 1 species